CAAAGAAAAGUGGGGCUUUCUGCGACACGUGUCGGCACGAUAGCUCAUCGGUGUGUUUCACGCAUUAUCUAUCGCGAGUCGUUCAUUCACUAAUUAACCGCUUCUCAAGUCUACGCUUAAAUCCAAUUGGGCUUCUAUUGCGUUUCCUAGCUUAGCCCAUUUAACCAACUCUCUCAUUAUUAUUUUAGGUGCAGAUGGAAUUACGAUCCCUCUUCCUCUUCUUCGUUCUCUUCGCUGCCGAAAUCCCAAAGAAAAUUAACAUCUCCUUCAACGGCCGUUACGUCUCAGACUUCUAUAACUCUGCCUCAAACUCCAUCUAUAUAUAUCGGCCCUCACUCCCAUUCACAGCACAUCCCAAACCAGUUACUGAAAUUUCCUUGCACCAACAUAUUCAGAUGCUAUCCAGAAGAUCGAAGUGAAAGUUGGAGUUCUGGUUUCACAACUGCUUCUUUUACCUUUCAUUCCCAGAGUGAAAGUUGUCAUUGAACUAUAUCGCAAUGUUUUCUGUUCGUCUUUUGUUUUUUGUUUUUAAACCAGCCUUACUAAUUUCUCAAUUGCAAGGCAGUAUUUUAAACCCCUAUUAAAUUGUUAUAAUGUUAUGAAUAUUAGUACCAACUACGAACAUGUCUUAACUGUAAUCAAUU